rnacentral:rRNA from 1 species
AUACGUAGGGGGCAAGCGUUAUCCGGAUUUACUGGGUGUAAAGGGAGCGUAGACGGAAGGCCAAGUCUGAUGUGAAAGCCCGCGGCUCAACUGCGGGACUGCAUUGGAAACUGGUCAUCUGGAGUGCAGGAGGGGUAAGCGGAAUUCCUAGUGUAGCGGUGAAAUGCGUAGAUAUUAGGAGGAACACCGGUGGCGAAGGCGGCUUACUGGACUGUAACUGACGUUGAGGCUCGAAAGCGUGGAGAGCAAACAGGAUUAGAUCCCCUGGUAGUCCACGCCGUAAACGAUGAAUACUAGGUGUCGGGUUUCUAUAGAGAUUCGGUGCCGCAGCAAACGCAAUAAGUAUUCCACCUGGGGAGUACGUUCGCAAGAAUGAAACUCAAAUGAAUUGACGGGG